AUUGAACGCUGGCGGCAUGCCUUACACAUGCAAGUCGAACGGUAACGGGCCUUCGGGUGCCGACGAGUGGCGAACGGGUGAGUAAUACAUCGGAACGUGUCCGAUCGUGGGGGAUAACGAGGCGAAAGCUUUUCUAAUAUCCCAUACGAUCUACGGAUGAAAGCAGGGGACCGCAAGGCCUUUCGCGGGCGGAGCGGCCGAUGGCAGAUUAGGUAGUUGGUGGGAUAGAAGCUUACCAAGCCGACGAUCUGUAGCUUGUCUGAGAGGAUGAUCAGCCACACGGGGACUGAGACACGGCAGAGACUCCUACGGGAGGACGCAGUGGGGAAUUUUGGACAAUGGGCGCAAGCCUGAUACAGCCAUGCGGCGUGCAGGAUGAAGGCGUUAGGGUUGUAAACUGAUUUUGUACGGAACGAAAAGCAUUCUUUUAAUACAGGAGGGUCAUGACGGUACCGUAAGAAUAAGCACCGGCUAACUACGUG
rnacentral:rRNA from 1 species